CGACCUUGGAAAGGACCAUGACCCCAGCGAUGACAUCAGAAAGGAACUUGACACGGACCCGCAAUUAAAGGGCCGAAUAACGGUAAAUGUGGCUUGGACAUUCUGGUCGUCAUCACGCAACGACUCUGGUCUGUCCCCGCAUUCUGGAAAGCAGGGCAGCGAUCUCCCCGGCCGGUCGCGCUGGGCUGAACAGAUAGCCCUGCACCUCGGUGCAGCCUUCGGCUCGUAGCGCAGCAAGCUGCUCCUCC
rnacentral:misc_RNA from 1 species